GAUGAACGCUGGCGGCGUGCCUAAUACAUGCAAGUCGAGCGAAUGGAUUAAGAGCUUGCUCUUAUGAAGUUAGCGGCGGACGGGUGAGUAACACGUGGGUAACCUGCCCAUAAGACUGGGAUAACUCCGGGAAACCGGGGCUAAUACCGGAUAACAUUUUGAACCGCAUGGUUCGAAAUUGAAAGGCGGCUUCGGCUGCCACUUAUGGAUGGACCCGCGUCGCAUUAGCUAGUUGGUGAGGUAACGGCUCACCAAGGCAACGAUGCGUAGCCGCCCUGAGAGGGUGAUCGGCCACACUGGGACUGAGACACGGCCCAGACUCCUACGGGAGGCAGCAGUAGGGAAUCUUCCGCAAUGGACGAAAGUCUGACGGAGCAACGCCGCGUGAGUGAUGAAGACUUUCGGGUCGUAAAACUCUGUUGUUAGGGAAGAACAAGUGCUAGUUGAAUAAGCUGGCACCUUGACGGUACCUAACCAGAAAGCCACGGCUAACUACGUGCCAGCCGCCGCCGUAA
rnacentral:rRNA from 1 species